CCAUGAAACUUUACUGGAAACUUAUGUGGCUGACUUAAAUAGUUUAAAAAUGUGGUGCGGGUUAACUAAGGCUAGAAAAGCGCACUUUUUUAUUUGAAGAAAGGCAACUCACGAACUUAUGUUUUUGGGGUUUGAUAAGUGGGACAGUUUGGUUGGGGCAACCGCCUUUAAAAAAGUAACGAAGGCGGGCUUAAGAUACAUAUUCAAUUGUGUCUGACUGCCAGGGGGAGACCCAGAGCAGACACUUAUCUUUAGAUGGUGGGUUUAAGUGACCCGUUAAUUUAAGGUGAAAUAGUUAACGAUAAACAGAUAAAAG
rnacentral:rRNA from 1 species